UACGUAGGGGGCUAGCGUUGUCCGGAUUUAUUGGGCGUAAAGAGCGUGUAGGCGGCCAGGUAGGUCUGCUGUGAAAACUCGGGGCUCAACCCCGAGCCUGCAUUCGAUACGGGCAGACUAGAGUUCGGUAGGGGAGACUGGAAUUCCUGGUGUAGCGGUGAAAUGCGCAGAUAUCAGGAGGAACACCGGUGGCGAAGGCGGGUCUCUGGGCCGAUACUGACGCUGAGGAGCGAAAGCGUGGGGAGCGAACAGG
rnacentral:rRNA from 1 species